CGGGGUGAGUAACGCGUGAGGAACCUGCCUUUCAGAGGGGGACAACAGUUGGAAACGACUGCUAAUACCGCAUAACACAUAGGUGUCGCAUGGCAUUUAUGUCAAAGAUUUAUCGCUGAAAGAUGGCCUCGCGUCUGAUUAGCUAGUUGGUAGGGUAACGGCCUACCAAGGCGACGAUCAGUAGCCGGACUGAGAGGUUGGCCGGCCACAUUGGGACUGAGAUACGGCCCAGACUCCUACGGAAGGCAGCAG
rnacentral:rRNA from 1 species